rnacentral:rRNA from 1 species
GCUUGUCUCAAAGAUUAAGCCAUGCAUGUCUAAGUAUAAGCAACUAUACCGUGAAACUGCGAAUGGCUCAUUAAAUCAGUUAUCGUUUAUUUGAUAGUACCUUACUACUUGGAUAACCGUGGUAAUUCUAGAGCUAAUACAUGCUAAAAACCCCGACUUCGGAAGGGGUGUAUUUAUUAGAUAAAAAACCAAUGCCCUUCGGGGCUCUUUGGUGAUUCAUAAUAACUUAACGAAUCGCAUGGCCUUGCGCCGGCGAUGGUUCAUUCAAAUUUCUGCCCUAUCAACUUUCGAUUGUAGAGUAGUGGUCUACAAUGGUUUCAACGGGUAACGGGGAAUAAGGGUUCGAUUCCGGAGAGGGAGCCUGAGAAACGGCUACCACAUCCAAGGAAGGCAGCAGG